rnacentral:rRNA from 2 species
AAGAGUUUAAGGGUCGAACAGACCAAAUUUCUUAAUUUUCUUCUAUUAAGUUAUCUCUUAAUUCAACAUCGAGGUAGUAUACAAUUUUAUUGAUUUGGUCUCUAAAAAAUUUUUACU